GUGAGGGAUAUUGGUCAAUGGGCGAAAGCCUGAACCAGCGACGCCGCGUGGGUGAUGAAGGUCUUCGGAUCGUAAAACCCUUUUCUGCGUGACGAGACAAGGACGGUAGCGCAGGAAGAAGUCUCGGCUAACUACGUGCCAGCAGCCGCGGUAAAACGUAGGAGACAAGCGUUAUCCGGAGUUACUGGGCGUAAAGGGCGUGCAGGCGGCUUACUCAGUCUGGUGUGAAAGCGCUCGGCUAAACCGGGCGAGGCCACUGGAUACUGGUAGGCUGGAGGACGGUAGAGGCGAGUGGAAUUCCGGGUGUAGUGGUGAAAUGCGUAGAGAUCCGGAGGAACACCAGUGGCGAAGGCGACUCGCUGGGCCGUACCUGACGCUGAGACGCGACAGCAUGGGGAGCGAACGGGAUUAGAUACCCUAGUAGUCC
rnacentral:rRNA from 1 species